rnacentral:tRNA from 1 species
UAGCUCAGUCAGUUGAGCAUGGCACUAACAGUGUUAAAGUCAUGGGUUCGAUUCCCAU